rnacentral:rRNA from 1 species
UACGGGGGGAGCAAGCGUUGUUCGGAUUUACUGGGCGUAAAGGGCGCGUAGGCGGCCACCGCAAGUCGACUGUGAAAUCUCCGGGCUUAACCCGGAAAGGUCAGCCGAUACUGCGGGGCUAGAGUGCAGAAGGGGCAACUGGAAUUCUCGGUGUAGCGGUGAAAUGCGUAGAUAUCGAGAGGAACACCUGCGGCGAAGGCGGGUUGCGUGGGC